UUUAUCUUGAGAGCAUUUCGUGACUGUUUUAUCUUGAGUGCAUGUCAAUGUUAAUACUUCUCUCUUUCACCUUUCAAACAGAACGAAUGUGUCAUUUUUCAUCACAGAUUAAAGCUGGUGGGCUGACUACCACCUACUGUCCAUGUUUAGAGUGCUGCAGGCCAGGCCAGUGCAGGCCACAAUGUCAAGGUGACAACUGAGCUUCCGUCUGGACUGGAAGCUGUGCACCCCCCAACCCACACGCACCGUAGACAGUUCCCUCGAAGGACCGCUCACCAUGGGAACCCACGAUUUGCUCGAGGCCACAUCUUUCUAAGGGGAGGAAAGGAGAAAAUCGAUGGGGCUUUAUUGUUGCUUGGAUUCCACACAUUGCAUGAGUAGAAAGGAAGUGCUCUGUAGAACUGCUGGACAUAUUGGAUGUAGGAAGGGGGUCAGGAAGUCUCCGGUAUCUGGAGGAGAUCAAUAAAGGAGAAAAACAGAGGAGAGAGAGACAACCAGAGGUCUGACCUGAAGCAUUCUUUGUUUCAGUGGAGUUUAAUGUGAUAAAAUAUUGAAUGCAUCUGUAAUAUUAAUACAAUUUAAUAGUGUAACACUGCUGUGCAAUUCAAGUCACUUUAGAGGGCUUCCCUCUUCCAGUACACAUGGGGG
ensembl:lncRNA